AUCAACAGAGGGGACAUUGUUCCAUUCAGCAAAAGGAAGAAAGGUUGUCGUUGUGCAUACUGUGAAAGAAGCCCUACAACUCUUUGCAAGUUACCAUGACAGUCCAUUGGGUGGACAUCUAGGAAUAUUCAAUACGAGGAAUUUGCUGACAUCAAAAUACUAUUGGCCAGGGAUGACAAGAGACAUUGCCAAUUGGGUUGCACGAUGUCUUACUUGCCAGAAACAGGGAAAGGAAUUAAAUAUGGAUACCACCUUGAAAAGCAUAAAGGUCACUCGGAUCUGGGAAUUGUUGGAAAUGGAUUUAAUAGGACCAUUACCAGUAACAAAGGAUGGAUACCAGUAUAUACUGACAGUCAUAGAUUAUCUGUCAAGAUGGCUGGAAGCCUUUCCACUUAGAAGUAAGUCAGCAUACGAGGUGGUAGAGAACAUGUACAAAUUGAUUGUUCGACGUGGAUGCCCAGAGCGGAUACUGACAGAUCAGGGUUCGGAAUUCAA